AUUGAACGCUGGCGGCAGGCCUAACACAUGCAAGUCGAGCGAGCGGCGGACGGGUGAGUAAUGCCUGGGAAUUGCCCAGUCGAGGGGGAUAACAGUUGGAAACGACUGCUAAUACCGCAUACGAUUGGAUUGCCCAGGUGGGUUUAGCGUGGUUGUGGGGUAAUGGCUCACCAAGGCGACGAUCCCUCGCUGGUCUGAGGGGAAGAUCAGCCACAGUGGAACAGAGACACGGUACAGACUCAUACGGGAGGCAGCAGGGGAGAAUUGUGCACAAUGGGGGAAACCCUGAUGCAGCCAUGCCGCGUAUGUGAAGAAGGCCUUCGUGUUGUAAAGCACUUUCAGCGAGGAGGCGUUACUCGCAGAAGAAGCACCGUCUAACUCCGUGCCAGCAGCCGCGGUAAUUC
rnacentral:rRNA from 1 species